UUUUUCACUGUUCUGUUGACUGAUACCCUUCAAACGGGGGUAGAAUUUUCCCGACUGCGGUUGAACAUUCGCACGUAUCGCUAUCGCGUUUGUGGUGGAAAGCAAAACCGGGCGGUGACAGUGAAAAAAGUCGAUAAGCGUUACUACAUAAAACCUUGUUUUUUUCCCUGCCUCUUGUUGGAUAACCGGGUUCGCGCACUGCUUCCGCACGGGAGGAAUCAUCAAAGUGAAGAAAGGUGUUGCCACUAGUUAGUGCUGAUUGUGCCAUCGUCGUGUGAAGAGAGUGCAUCGGAUCACCACCACCGAGCGAUAUCGUCGCGUGAUCUAUCAAUUUCACGAAAUUCGAUCAGUGAGUGAUUGGAUGCGAUACACAUCGCAGCAAGUGCAAGUGGUUAUAGAGAGAAAAAAAAUCUAACUGUCGUGUUCAAAAAGUGUCAUUUCAAGUGUACAAGGAAGAGAACACACGAGUUGUUCCAACUUCGCUGGACCAUUUCCCGUUGCUCUGUUGAAGUUUUUUUUUGUUCACAUCACUUACCUACAAGCGUCAUCGUUUUGCAAUUUUCAUCUCUUCCGUUCUUUAAUUUACUCUGCAGAGAUUCUUUCUCGUUUAAAUUCACUCGGAACUGCUUAGGAUCAUGGUCACGAAAAUAUGGCGAAGUUGUUUCCCCGAGUCGGCCAAUCUUCCGCACCACGUUCAGCGGCAUCAUUUUUACCUUUGUCAGUGGCAGAGUAACACACAGGUCGGGAUAUGCUACCUGAUGUACCGACUGAUCGUGGCCAUUCUGUUCCUGGCCGUGUUGGCCUGUUCUCUGCUGGACAUUGGCCGCCAGGAACCAAUGCUGGAGCAUCACUAUGCCAAAUGGUGGAUCUAUCUGACACACUGGGCACUGAUAGCGUGCGCCGUCCAAGCCUGGCUGGCGGCAAUUAUCGUUACCAAAGGAUUGAUGAUUGACCGGAAUGAGUUCGAGUGGAACAUCCAUGUGGCCAGGGAAAGCCGAUUGCAUGCGGUCUACUGGGUUUUCUACACCAUCGCCACAGUGUACUCGUUCAUUGUCACAGCAGUCUAUUGGACGUUCGUCUACGAUCCUGAUGUUCAUCGCGUGGACGUGGUAAAUCUCAUGGUGCACGUGCUCAAUUCCGUCAUAAUGCUAAUCGAUUUGACCAUCGUGGGACACCCGAUCAGGCUAAACCAUGCCUACUGGACAACCGGCAUCGGUGUGCUGUAUGCGAUCUUCUCGGUCGUAUACUAUCUGGCAGGAGGAACCGACAGACAUAACGAGCCGAGCAUCUACCGAAUGCUGGAUUGGCAGAAACCGGGCAAAUCGAUUGUGGUUUGCACGCUGGGGGUAUUUUUCGUCUUCGUCGUCCACUUCCUCUGCUACUGCUUGUACUGUCUGCGGGUGUGGCUGUACGCACGGGUUUGCCUCCCGGAACCACUGAACGGGGGCCUCUCUCGGAAGGGGAGCCGGGAGAAGAUAAGUUCCAUCACAAAGACCCUCUCCUCGAUGGAGGAAUCCCAGCGGGAGCAGUUCCUCAACCCGUCGACUGUCAUCGAUCUCAAGUGAUAUAGCGAUGUCCAGCAGCCGCAGCCGCGGGGGCCCGAUAGUCGGCCCUCCACCAGCCGAACGGGGUGUGGCGGCGAGGCCGGCAGCAGACAUCCGCACCACCAGCAGCAACAGCAACAACAGCAGCAGCAGGAGCCACGCUCAUUUGCGGGUCCCCGUUAGCUCAAGUAUGUAAUUCUCUGAAGAGUCAUUGUUGAACAGAUUGCACGGGUAGCAAACCGUCAAAGUUUUGAUUGGAGGAUAAAUUGAACAAAAGAAAAAACAAAAGCGUUGUUUAGUAUAGUAAUAAAUUAUGUAUAUUAAUUAUAGAAUUUUACGUAGACUGUUAGCGGAAGGAGGGUUUUUUUGUAUACCGUUCAUUGGUAACGAAGGGAUGAGAGACAUAGGGAUCGAAUUACUAACCGGAACUAAGUAUCUCAUUAACGACGACAGUCAAGCAUUAACAUUCAGCGAAGGAUAGUUUUCAAUCUCAGGGUAUGUAAUGUCCUGUAGGUUUUAUUAGCCCAAUCAUUUUUUUUUGUUUCUCACAGCAGCGUGGGAUUAUAGCUAAGAUGAAAAUUAAUGGCGGAAUUUAUGUCGGAGUAGUUUUUGUAGGAUUUAAUAAUUUGUUUGCCUGAAUCUAUUUAAACGAUAUUUGUUCAUUUACGGGUUAAAUGAAUGCUAAAAAUUUGAACUUUUACAUUCCUUGUUCAAUGAAAUAAUAAGUAAAAAAAUUGAAAAGGAUUAGAAUACAAAAUUCAAGAACAACAAAACAGAGCAAUAAAUUUUAGACCAUUUGAAAGACUGUUGGGGCAUGGAUUGCGUUGGGCCUCGUGGGACACGUUAUUUUGAUUUUCUUGGAUACUCUUGUAGCCAAACUGAGUGACCAUUUUGUUUCGUCAAUUUUUCAUCUGUGUAGCAUUCCGAGUCAGCUCACUAUUCUUUUCUAUUGUCUUCUUCACAUUUGGUUGUUGAACUGGGUCGAUUGGGGUUUAUUGUGAUGAAAUACUCCCGGUUCUCAUAAUAAUACAGAAGUAGCACUCGACUGCAGCAACAGUUAGUCAAAUCUGACCAAACUCUCGUAGAUCUUCGAGUCCUAAGCAGGGCCCGAAAUCUUCGAAUGUGAAAAAUGAGGACCGACUCUACUCUCAGCAGCUUCGCUUCGACUAGAACUGCUUCGGCAGGUGCCCACAACAAAAAGUGACUUGACUAGAAAAUGAAUUAACUAGCGUUGACUAGCGAGGAUGACUGGUGAACUAGUCCAGUUAGUGGUUAUUUUAACUGAGCACUGUCAAAUGUUUCUCCGUCGAAGAAACAAAAGAUUCUGUGACUCUGACUUUGUUCAUUUAAGUUUUUGGUCGACGUAACGAGAAGUAAAAUUGAAUUGAAAUUAAGUUUAGAACACCUCAAUAAUACUGAAAUUUCAGUUUCUGCUAAAAUGUCAGAUGGGUCAUUAUGAUUUUGAACGCUAGCAAUGAUUUAAGAAAAAAAACUAGUUCGUUCAUUUCAUCUGCUUGUUUUCACUUUCAAUAACAACACUUUUCCUAUGUAGUGGUCUAUUAUAAGAGAAAUAACAUACAUAAACAAAAUCUGUGACGUCACAGAUUUAAAAAUCUUAUCACCUUUCAUUUUCCAUCUCGAUGCACAUGUACAUGGGAGAGAGAAAGAGAGGAACGAAUUCGUUUUGGGGGAAGUCACUUCAAAAUGCAAUGAGGACAAUUUGACUGGGAAGAAUGAAAUGAUAUAGUCGAGUCGGUAGAGGGAAAUAGCAGCUAAACGCCCGACUGACUGUUCAGUCGUUUUGGCGGAGAAACUGCGUGAAGAAGCCAAAAGUCGUUACUAACUGGCUAUGGAUAUAGUCAGUCAGAUAGUCAACUGACUAUCCUCAGUUGACUAUGACUAUGCGAAGCCCUGGUCCUAAGUCUUAUUUGUACACAAACACCUUGAGAGUUUUAUCUAUAGAUGGCUAGCUCAGGAGUUGUCUAAUCAGAGAAAAUGAACCUAAACUUGCUGGAAAUAUUUCCUCGAUCCGAAUCUUUUGAGAACAGUACUGGCGGUAACCGGUAGAUGGAGCUAGUCGAGCUCCACAAUUUCACGAUUUAUAAAUCAAUGUUUCUUAUUCUGGACUUCGAACAAAACUUAUACAACUGAAAGAGCAUUAUGUCCCCAACAAUCUUCUGUCGAAACAUUCCAGAAUCGUACGCUAUGAGCGCUACGGAUCCAACUCCAUUUCAACAAUGCAUGACUGAAAAAGAUCUAUAAAAUCAGACUAUCGUUGUUUCUGAUUAGUUUGAUACGUAUUACUAAAUUAACGUUGGAAGGGAAGAAAAGCAUGAGGGAUAUUUACACAAUAAAGCUUGCACAAAAAUAUAACAAUAUCCCAUUCAUCGUAGGAAAGCACCAAUGAUCCCAAAUAUAGAAUGUUCCCUAAACAUUCCUUCCAUACGACUCAUGAGACUUCUUCAAUAUAGCCAACUAAUAAGUAUUAUCAAGAAAUCAAAAUAUCAAAAAAAAGAUUUUAAGCAAAUUUUAGGAAUCAGCUAAUUAAACUAUAUUUUUUCCUUGCAUGAGGAACGGAUUCUAUAUUGCACCUGAGUUUUUACCCUUUAAUGUAUAUAGAAAAAUCCUACUCACAUUUCAGUUAUGUUUCAGUCAUGAGCACUAGCAAAUCAGUUAGUGAAAAAGUGAAGUGAAAGUGUGUCCAGAUUCAAAUAUUCUAUUUUAAUUCUUUAUGUUCUUAUAUCAUGUCCAACAUCUAUGUCUCUUAAAUGAAUUGCUUAUUCCUUCAUUCUUGAUUGUUCAACUUUUACCUAAAGUCCAAACCCACGCACUUUAGGCUUUAUCAUUUAGCGUUAUCCUCUUUCUGCCGUUUAGUUAGGUUCAUCUUCUCUACCCUAAACUUCAAAGCUUUUGUACAUCCAUGAUCGUUGAUCUGUUUUUGUUUUUCCUCCCAUUCUCCGAUAAUGAACCUAUUGCUCACUCACGCUGACUUCGCGUUCGAAGAACUCUCAUCUCUCUCAGUUGCAAAGAACUCUCAUCUCAACAACAGUUGCAAUUGAGAGAGAUGAGAGCUCGUCAGUGUUGGCAAAUUUUUGGAUUAUGUCUACAUUAAUUAUGACAUGGAUGCAUUUUAGUAGUAAUAAACCCAGUAUCAACAACAUCGUUCCAGUUUAAACUGGAUUCUACCCGUUUUUUUUCUCGAUACAGCCAAACAGUCGAAUCCGAAAGGCUUCCAGUUUUGUAUUUGAAUUUACCAAGAUUCAUUCAGUGUUUAUAAGUGUGCUUCAGGUUUACCCAUUUUAUGUAAAAUAAAGUCACAAUGGAUGAAUGUUAUUCCUCCGUCCACCUUCCUACCUUCCUACCUUGAUCAAUUUUGUUUUUUUGACAUUUAUUGUUCUAUCGAUCCAUGGUGUAUUGAUCUUGGAUCGAUAUUUCUUUUUCUUACACCCUCAACUAAGUGUUAUUUCUCUCUUGUUUACGGUUAGCGCGCAGUGCGUGUAAUGAAAAUAUACUGUUUUCAGUUAUGUUUCAUCUGCCUCAUGGACAAUUUUUCGAGAUUUUUUUUGCCACCGCCAUAAACAUUUCACACUCUAUUACCGUAUGCGUGAUAAUGUUUGCACUAUUGAGCAAUGUCAAAAUGUCAAAAAAUGAAAAUCUAGGCACUGAAAAUGGAAGAAAAAAUGAAAGAUUUCGAACGCUUAUAACUCGAGCUUUUCUCAAUUGAUCGUAAAGAUGGCUACAUCAAUUGAUAGGAAAUAUUUCUACGCAUUUAUUACAGUGAAUAACAUUUCAUUUUUUUUGUGAGAAACAAUUGAAUCAUUGUGAAAUGUCAAGCAUUGUUCAAACGCCUUUUGUGCCUCGUUCUGAUUGGUCCAAUUUGUGCUCCUCAAAUGGGUCCGAUCAAAACGAGCAAACAGAGUAACAGCAGAAUGUUAUUUGGAUACAAGUAAAGAAUCAUAUUGUGAACCAUUACGGCCUCAACACGCUUCCGGAACGCACGCCAGAUCCUAAUAAUGUAGCCUAUAUCCAUUUCUCUCCAAUACGGAUCAAUGUUUGUCUGAGGUUUGCCGUACUCGGACGUCAUUUAGAACAGGCCUUGGACUUCAUGACGCGUCAUACUGAGUAGUCCAGCGGAUGAGGAUCGAGGCUGGAUGGCGACCAGAUAUCCUUCGCCUAGAACAGCAAAUAUUCCUGCAACCAGUUUUGAGUAUGGUUCGAGGUGUGCCUGGAGCCUUGCUUAGAAUUCAGCAGUCUGACAGGAUCGCCAAAAUGUGUAGCACCUAAAAGCGAGGAAUCACCCAAUAUGCUCUGAAGCAUCCGGGUUGCUCGUAUCAUCUCGUCAAGAUGGAAGCUCUGAUUUCGACGCUAUUUUAACAAAUUAACUGUUGAAAAAUAACAAUUUUCUAUGUUUCAGUAAAUUGUUACGUACUGUACACAUCGAUCAGUACCCAAAUCUCAUGAAUACAGCAAGAAACGACUUAGCAACAAACUGUUUUUAUGGCUAUUCAAAUAUUACCAACAAAGAACAUGAUGUAUGAGUAGGGAUACCAUCUGAUCGGAGUUGAAAAUCCGAACACCUCCCACAGCUACGACUGAGAGCAAACCGUUGUCAUUCUUUUGAGAUAUAAAUGAAUCAACACACGUUGUAUGUGGUUUGCACUUCGAGAAAACAAAAUACUUAAAUCUAUUCAUUUCGGACGAUCCAUCCGGUGAAAAUACUAUAGGAAAUAUUAGGAAAAUUUGGGCAGUUUCCGAGCUUUUAUGAUGCAAGAGUUCCUUCUGCAGCCAGAGUUUUCCAAGCGAUGUGAUUUUUACACACACACACACACACACAUAAUUCAGCAUGGAUUUGGAAGCGGAUUCCAAUUGAAUAUUCUUGCAAAGUUUUGGUGUUUGGAUAUGCUUUUCCAAAUCAGAUUUACCUGUACUGGUUCAUUGUGGAUUCCAAUCUUCUGUUUCAACAAAAUGACAAAAUGCAGAUACUACUUGUUACGGCUCAGGCCGAACAAUUAAAGGAAAAACACACACAUCAAUCAAUUGCUAAACACACUAUUUUCAAACUACAUACAUGAUUUACUAACUACAAAACACACACUUGAAACCUCCAAUCAAAAUCUGUACCCGUAUACAUAAGAAUAUUCGUCGGCUCUCAUCAUUCACCAGGAACAAGACCUCAUAAAACAUUAUUUGCACAACACAUAAUAAACAACACUAGCGGUGAAAACAGCACAAAAUAACAAUCACAAACAAAAACAAGCGAGACAGGAACGAAUAGAAAUGAACCCGCUAUACAAAGCGUAGUUGUUUAUAGCGAAUAUUCAAGACGUUACCCAAACAAAAAUUGCGCUAUUCAAAUGACUUACUCCCAUAGUCGUAUAAAUAGAGUACGGAAUAUUCAGAACAGUGUCUCACCACAUAGACUAUGUGAGAAGUACUUCGGUUAAACGCAUCCAAAUAAUCAGAACGAUUGCAUCUAGAGUUCCCUGUGCCCAUAGAACAUCUAUCAUGCAAUUCGUCAACUGCUGGAUUCUAUCCAAAAUGUUCUAUGGCACUGGCCUUCUCAGCAGAGGAAAUUAUGUUGAUAAGAAGCUACGUCCGAUGUACAACAAAAUUUUCAGAACUGCUUCCGGAGUGUUCAUAACAAGUCCUACCUCUGCAGUGAUGGCCGAAUGUGACCAGCUACCGUUCAAGCAUUAUUUGACGGUCUGUGUAGUUACUAAGGCUGUGCGAAGGCUUAGUCUCAAAGGCCGCGAAGAUGUACCCCUUGUACUGAGAGCUAACCAACUAUUAUACUCCUUGACCAACUUGAACCUUCCUUCCAUAGCUACCUUACCUAGAACCAAAAUUAGACCCUGGAGCCAUUCCAAAAUGUUUAGUAUCUAUGCCCAUUCUUCGUUCCUUUUUAAUAUUUGUACAAUUCGAGCAUUGAAUUUCUUCAGAGUUACAAUCUUUAAAUUGGUGAUUUUUACCGCAUUUCGGGCAUACACUAACUUCUGAUUUGCAAUCUUAUGACAAUAUUCGUAACAAAAACAUCUCAAAAUCUUCAACCCAUCGAUUACCAGACAUUUUUCGAAGCCACAGAAUACUGAUUUGGCUUCCAUCAAUUUGAUAUACGUGUCUCCUUCGACUUCUAUAAUCGCACUAUAUUGAUUGUAUUUCAAAGCAUCGUUACAGUAGAUUUUCUUCACUUGAAAAUGUUAAUUUUUCUCUAACAAAGGGGUUUGCUUCAUCAACGUUAAUUUUAAAUCAUUUUCAUAUAACUCUUCACUAAAUCCAGUUAUUUUAAUCGUCGGUUUCAGCGCUUCUGGUAUUUUAACCUCAUAGUCCUGACCCAAUUUUUUCUCAACAUUAACCUUGAUCAACUCAAUUGAGGUUUUGUCUGAAGCAGAGACAACAACAGUACCAUUCUUACCGUUUCGCAGUCCAUUUAUAUUCAAUCCCUUGGGAUUGACAUCUUCUUUUAAAAAUUUUCUAGUUAUGUCAGAUUCCUGUGUAGUUUUCGGUUUUAUGAUUAAGAUUUUUUCCCUGGUCAAAGUUUUCUUUUUAGUGAUAUUGUCAACAUUAGCUACAUUUUCAAUUGUUGUUUUCGUCUUUCAAUACCGCAGCAAAACUUAGUGGAGUUGCAUUUUCAUUCUGGUUUGGAUCGUCACGACGGGGUUUUUUUUAGAUUUGAACGCAAAUUUUACCGCUGAGGUGUUUCCUCUGCAUUUGCGCUCACAUCCGUGUUGUUUUUAAUCAAACUUCCAAUUUCCGCCCGUACUGUCUCUUUGACUUUAAGCUCAAAGUUAUUGGCCAAUUCAACCGAACAUUUAAGCUCUUUAAUAUCACUCAUAAUUUUAGUAACGGAAUCGUCAAAAUGAUUAUUUCCGAAGCCAUUUUCGUGUAACAAUAAACAUGUGUCGCAUACAAAAACGGCAUUUUUUUUUUUUUUUUUUCAAAACGUCGAAGUUCGCACGCACCGCGCUGGGUAAACAUUCAAUAUGCAGAGUCUCAUGACACUUGCCGUGGUUUCAUAAAAUAUAUAUGUUACUUCGUUGUAUUAAAUUAUUGGGGAGUGCCUAAAUCGAUUGAUGCAAAUAUCUCGUAAAUCCAUCAGCAAAUGCCGCAAUGAGCGCUUGAAAUUAGAUAAUUUUCGCGAUGCGGCAGAUUUUUUGUUUUUCAAUUUGUACCCCAAUAUGUUCCCGAAAUACAGAAAAAAAUGAAUUGUGAUUCGCCAACAAAAUUGAAAAAUUGAUUCGCCCCAAAAGCAUCUCAAAAUCAGGACAUGUCCUGCUAAAUGAGGACAAUUGGUUUUCCUAUCGCUUUUCGAAAACGACCCGAACAAAAAAAAUUGAUAACCGUUUUAUAUUUAUUUGUUUCCAAAAUGCGCAAUCUCACGUCAAAAACAUUGAAAUAUACAGUAAAAUACAUGUUUCAGACUUAUUUGUUUAAGGUAGACACCUGAUCCCACAUUCCACAAAUCAGUACAAAAUAUCAUCCGUGAGGAAUUGUGCGUUUGCCCUUCGUAUGUUCCAUUCAUGAUGUGGUCUGAAUAGAAACAAAAAUUAUCCAAGUGUGAGUUCAGCAAAAAUAUGGAUUCAAAUUCAAACGAGGAGGCCAAUUCUGUGAACCACUGCUCACCCAUUCCAAGAACAAUAGGUAUAUUAACACCUUAGACCCCCGACCAAGCUAGGAGACCGACAAUGAACUUUCCGUCUUGCCCUCGUCGAUCCCUGUGAACUUUCCUAAAAAUAAUUUUCUACCUUUGUUAUUGUUGUUCACAGUAACCACGCUGUCCAAAAGAAAAAUUCACUAUGUGCCCAAACCAGACAGAAAAUGCAGUGUCACUCACUAGGACCGAACGGUUCAAGGUGUUAAAGGCGACAUCAGUGGAUUCGAUCGUACGGCAUUUUCUAAAUCAUAGAAACCAAAUUGGAAGAAUACAAGGGCAUCAUUCUGGGCAAUUCGGUUUCCUGAUAAAAAAGACGGGUGGGUAAUGUCAGGGACAUAAUCGGAGUGACGUAGGACUAUACAAAGGGGACAGCUUUUGUUAAAUAUAUAUUUUAAAUAUAUUGUUUUAUUUUCUUCUCCUACGUGAAUACCUACCUAUCUACCUUAAAAAUGGAUUAGUUUACUGUUUACUCUUCAUGAAUAUGUUGAUGGUUCUGAAAAGAACCUUUGGUGUUGUGUUUUUGUUAUCACUCGAUAUUCCCAUCUUGUUCGGUUAAACCUUCCUGUUUAGCUAUUGCGUUUGCCACUCGCCACAGCUUUCACAGUUGGAAAAUUUCUUCCCAUCCAGCUUGUGACAUGUUGUUCAGUAAAUUACAUUUAAUGCGACGUGCCGGAGAAACACUUUGCCACUCACUGAAACUAAUUGUUGCCUUGAUGAGCGCCGAACCGAAGCUGCUCUGUUCUUGAUGCGGGUUUUCUGAUUGUCGUGAGCAGCUUUGCAAGCCAACUCGAGCACUCCGACGGCCGAAACUCUAUAAUCGCUGUUAGGUAUACUGGUGCUCCGGCACCAAUCCGUUCGGCCUAGUUACCCUUGCGGAGCAAUCAGUGAAUGCGACCAACAGGGAACUGGAGACUUGCAUGGUUCGAGUGAGACUUUGCCUUUCCCUUAACUUGUCCUCCUUUGUUACGUCCACGAUGCCGAUGCCGUACAACCACACGGGUUUACGGUUUGAAAGAAAACAAGAUAUUUCAUCACAUCACAUGUCCGUCCAAUUAGCUAAAUGUCGAACUAAUUGUAAAUUACUGUACUUUCAAUCUGGAAACAAUUUAAGAAUUGGUGAAAAUUGAAUAAUCAGGAAAGUCCCCAACUAUCAAUAAGCUCAGAACAACUGCCAAAUUCACAUACUCAUUAGAUCCUGGCAAACAAAUUAUGAAAAAAUCAAUUUGUUUUUUAUUAUUUUGGAUAAUGUUUUAGAAAGCAUUGAACUGUAUUUCCUAAACACUUUUUUGGAAGGUUUAAUGGCCCUGAAAAGCGCCUUGUUUUAUGGAAUGGUACCAAAUUAGAAAACUUAGUACUCGUGGUUUUGAAAAAAACCAUUUCGAACGCCCUCGAUGCCGCCUUGUUCUGGAUUUGCCACCAAAGCAGUUUGUAUAAAGAACAAACUUUUUUCUUCUGCUACCUGAUGCCGUUUUGCGAUUGCGUUUGCCACUUGCCACUCGCUGCAACUGCCUGUUGUUGUCUUGAUGUCCACCGAACUGAAUGUGUUCUGUUCUGAAUGCGUUAUUUCUUAUCGUCGCGAGCAGCUUUGCCAGCCAACUCGAUCACUUCGGCGGCCGAAACUAUAUAACGCCGGCUAGGUGGACUGGUGCACUGGUACUAACGCGCUCGGCCUAGCUACCCUUGCGGGGAACUCCAGAUCAACGCGGUUCGAGCGGGAUUUUGCCUUUCCCUUCACUUUUCCUCCUUUACCAUGUCCAGACAUGGCUGCUUGGGUAGGUUUGUUGAUGUGUUGUGAUGCGAACCGAUGUGGUGUACGGUUUGAAUGAGAAUGAUCGUUACGGCAGCGGAGCGGGGAUUUUGCUGGCUCGAGAAUUACGCAUGUGUGAUUUUCCGUUCAUUUUUUUCUUUUUCCUUUCCAAUCGUGCUUCAUUCUAUUUCGCUGCUGCUCUGGUUGCCCGUUUUGGUCGGUUCGAUUUGAGGAGCACAAAAUGGACCAAUCAAAAAUAGGCACAUAGUGCAUUUUGACAAUGCUUGAUAAAUAUCAAUUAUUCAGUUAUUUAUCUCAAGAAAAAUGAAAUGUUAUUCGUUAUGAUAGAUGCGUAGAUAAAUUUCCUAUCAAUUGAUGCAAAAACCUUUGCGAUCUAUUGAGAAAUGCUCGAGUUAUAAGCGUUCCAAAUCUUGCAUUUUUUCCUGCUUGUUCAGUGCCUAGAUUUCCAUUUCACCCCCUAUAUAUUCCGGUUAGACGUAGUCCUACGUCAAAAAACCAGUUAUGUUUAUUCUUCUGGAGGCAACAAAAACAAAUAACAGAUUCAAAAUGUUCUACAUUUAAAAACACGUUGUUUUGGGCUUCUUGUACAAUGAUAUUGAGUAAUUCCAAAUGAAAUCGACAAAUGACAAAACAUGAGUAUUUUUGAUUCGAAUGAAAGUGUGUAUUCCGUUUGAGUUAGAGGAAAUAUGAGUUUUCUACAGCAAUUGGGAAUUUUUUGACUCAAGCGUAACUUUUGAAAAGGGCGUAUCGAUUUGAGUGAGAGAAAUCUUUGAUAAUUUAUACCUCAAAAACUAUGAGUCGUACCGAAAAAGUGUCUUAGAAAGAGUUAUAGAGUAUUGAUGGUUAAAUAUUAAAAAAAUGUACACUGAGAAAAAAAAUUAGUACUCUUUUUUUUAUUUACAAAAUAAAAAUUCAAUUUGCAAUAUACAUAUUUUUUUUAUUUUUUCAUACAAAAUAGAAGUCAUGCAGAAAAUUUAAAAAAUGGGCCCAAGAUGGUAAAACUAUUUUUGAACCUUUUUUGUUUUAAAUCACAUCAAGAUUCAUAAUUUAUGGCUAAAAAUGAUUGUUAACACACAAAAAUUCGAAGUUUCGAAAAUUCCUAAAAAUUCGAUGUUCCACAAAGUUCGUCAAAAAUGGUUUUACCAUCUUGGGCCUAUUUUUGAAAUUUUCUGCAUGACUUCUAUUUUGUAUGAAAAAAAAAAUAAAUAAAAAAUAUGUAUUUUGGAUAUUGCAAAUUUAAUUUUUAUUUUGUAAAUAAAAAAAAAGAGUACUAAUUUUUUUCUCAGUGUACAUUUUUUUCAUAUUCAAUACUCUAUAACUCUUUCUAAGACAUUAUUUCGGUACGACUCAUAGUUUUUGAGGUAUAAAUUAUCAAAGAUUUCUCUUACUAAUAUCGAUACGCCCUUUUCAAAAGUUACUUGAGUCAAAAAAUUCCCAAUUGCUGUGAAAAACUCAUAUUUCCUCCAACCCAAACACACCUUCAUUGGAAUCAAAAAUACAAGUUUUUAAAAUCUGCAUUUUUAGGACGAUUUCAUUUGGAAUUGCUGUAUUUCGACGUAACAUCAUGUAAUCUGCUUGAACUUAUUUGAUAGAGCAGGAAUACGGAUCCGGAUUAUGAAAACAUGGAUAGGAUAAUCAACGUAUAACAUUCGACACAAUGCGGUUCAGUUACAUUUAAUAGAUUCAGCAGUUUCGGUGCAAUAAUCAUACACGUGUGCAUUUAUAUCAGUGUUCAUAUCUUACGUUUUAGUGUAUUUACAGUUCUCCUUGUUUCGUAAUAUAAUAUAAGUUUUCAAAACGAUUUAAAACACCUUGGAUACCUUGCGAUUGAAAACAAACAAAACCACAUAGGUGUUGAAUGUGAGCGACAGUGUACAGGACCAAAUCCAAAACAAGCAACAACCAAAGAGACUUGUGGUCGCUAUCCGUUUUCUCGUCUCGAACAAAUCAUUGCAAAUAAAAAAAAACAAACACACACAAACACCUCGUGCAUGAAAACAAAACAAAAACUAUAUGAUUAGAUCAUUUUCAAAUGUUAUAACAUAGAUCGAAAAAGUAAUUGUGAAACAUUACAUCCCAAGUGAAUUAUUAUUACCAGUAGAGUCUGUACAUCAAGUUAUAUAUAAAGAAAAAAAAAUGCAUGCCGAACGGAAAGGAACGGAUAUAUCAAACGUUCCGCACCCAAACUGUUCACCAUGCUUGCACCUUUGGAAUAUAUUGGCAUGUGCGAGAAAAAAGCAAACAAUUCAAAAAUUCUAGUUAUCGAAUCUUAUAAACAUUAGUGUUAUCACUUUUCGAUCAAUUCCACUGAAGACUUUUGCAUUACGAACAAACAAACAAAAAUAUAUAUUCCUACAAAGUUGCUCUUCAGUAACGUUUCCUAGCGAUUUAUCAGAAUAUUGCUUCUGAAGCAUAUGUCCCUAUUAGAAAGUAUUCUCGAUAGAACCAUAGGUAUUUAAGUUAGUCUAUUGAAAAGGAGAGAAAUAUUCAACCAAGUAUUAGCCUGAAUUCAGAAUUGCUGAGUUUUCACGAAAUUCCGCGAUGAUGCUUCCACAUUCGUGUGACCAUCUUCGCUGAAUAUUCUCAGAUUGAAAAUAUAUUUUUCCGUAGUUUAGAGAAUGUGUUCUCUUGUAGCUUAUUUGAUAUCCAGUCAAUUAACGAAAAACAAUCGCAUGAUGUUUUAGCAACUAUUUAUCCUAGAAGGAGUACUGACGAUAUCCUAAUUUCCAUCCAACAUGUGAUGACCCGUAGUUUCUAAUAGUUCGGUAAAACGCGAUCUCCACCUAAACUGCUAUCGGUUUACGGUGUUCAAGUUAAAUUCAACUUUUUCCUGCGUUCACGUCAUUAGUUUCAAAACGGGAACGUUGAUAAACAAGAAUACCGAUAAGUAAUUACACCAAAUGAUAGAAGUAAUAAUUACAUUUUUUGGAAGCAGGAACCUUUCAAUCCCUAGUCAUUUGGCAAGAAAAUUUGGCAAAAAUAUUAGUUAGAAUAAAGAAAAAAAAAGAAACAGCAAUGAAAAUAUCCGUUUGGUGCACUCUUCAAACCGACAUAUACUCAUUUAACACUGCUCAAUAAUAACCAUGACAUUUGUUAGUCAGGUAAUUGCGUUUUGGUGAUUUACGGUUUAUUGGAAAGAAAGGGAUUCAAUAUUUAUAUACAUAUAGAAGUUAUUAAACGUAUUUUGGCAAAUAAGAUUGGCGAAUAAUGUAUUUUGAAACAGUCAAUAAUUAGUUCUAGCGAUUAUAUGUCACAGGAAGGCUUGCAAGCAGAUGUUUCGGCAACAGUAAACAUU